UACAGAGGGGGCAAGCGUUGUUCGGAAUUACUGGGCGUAAAGGGCGCGUAGGCGGCCCGCUAAGUCGAACGUGAAAUCCCUGGGCUCAACCCAGGAACUGCGUCCGAUACUGGCAGGCUUGAAUCCGGGAGAGGGAUGUGGAAUUCCAGGUGUAGCGGUGAAAUGCGUAGAUACAAUCAAGAACUCCGAUUGCGUAGGACAGCUAACUAGGCUGUAACUGACGCUGAGGCACGAAAGCGUGGGGAGCGAACAGG
rnacentral:rRNA from 1 species